rnacentral:rRNA from 1 species
UGGGGAAUAUUGGACAAUGAGAGAAAUCUUGAUCCUACAAUACUGCGUGAGUGAUGAAGACUUUUAUAGUUGUAAAGCUCUUUCAUUAGGGAAGAUAAUGACGGUACCUAAAGAAGAAGUCCCGGCCAACUUCGUGCCAGCAGCCGCGGUUAUACGAAGGGGACUAGUGUUAUUCAUCAUGACUGGGCGUAAAGCGUACGUAGGCGGUUAAUUAAGUUUUAAGUAAAAGCCCAAAUUUUAAUGUUGGAAAUAUUUAAAAUACUGAUUAACUAGAGUUUUUAGAGAGAAUAGUGGAAUUUCUAGUAUAGAGGUAAAAUUCGUUAAUAUUAGAAGGAACGCCCGAGGCGAAGGCGACUAUUUGGUUGUAAACUGACGCUAAGGUACGAAAGCAUGGGGAGCA